CAUUAGAUGGCUGAAAGUAAGCAUUGGUCCUUUAAACCAUUUUAUAGUAAUUUAACAAUUACUUCUAAUGA